GUUCUCCAGACACUGUCUCUAGAUGGAAAAGGAACAUCAUCAUCAAGCUGAUUCAUUUCUACAAGCUCAAGUCUGGGACUCGUGAGUCGUAUAUGGUGGAUGAAACAGAAUUGAAGAAGAUGAUGUUUCGAGGAGUCUGAAAAGGUGAGGGAUUGAUGCCUUACAUAUGAAGACUUGGGCAGCUGAGGAAAAGCUCCAUGCUUUACCAGAAAAUGAGAACUAUAACUGACCACCUCCAUCAGCAGCAUGCCUUUCUGUGCUCUGCCAUCAAUGACACAGGGCAGCUUGAUGCAAAGGCUGCUCUCAUCCAAUGUCUCAAACAGCGGGAAAGAAAGCUACAUCAUGCCACUGUGAUGUUUUACCAAAAUGUACCAGAUUGUUCCUGCAAUGCAUGGUUACAUCACCCCAGACAACCCCUGCCUGUCUCAGGCCCUCCCCAUGACAAGCAUACAGACACUGAUAUACAAUGAUGAUGGUGAUGAUGAUGAUGAUGAUGAUGAGGAUGAGGAUGAGGAUGACAAUGAUAGUGACUAGGACUGUAGACACUCAUGACCAAGGCUGUUUUUCUGCUUCCUGAUUUUUUAUGGUUAAUUUUAGCAAGUUUUAAUGUUUUGUUAUUUCAUUCAAAAUGUCUCCUUAAUUCAUUGCUAACCAAAAUUCAUCAAACUCAUACAGUUUAUGUUCCGUGUGUGUUUCCAUUGUAACUGGUGAGGAUCAAAUUAAUGCUGUGCUGCUGAUCAGUUGAUUAGUCUAACCGCAACAAGAUCCAUGUUUGUUUUUGUGGAGCUGUAAACUGUCCUGCCAAUCGAAACUCUCCUACCUCUGUGUUUAUAUUAAAAAAAAAGUGGACAAUUCUCAUUGCGCUCUCAAGAUGUUUUCAUGUUUUUGGUCCCAAAUUUGUGUACAGAGCUUGG